rnacentral:rRNA from 1 species
GCCUAACACAUGCAAGUCGAACGAAGCAUACGGACUGGAGAUUCGUCGAAGGACUGUAUGACUUAGUGGCGGACGGGUGAGUAAUGUAUGAGCAACCUGCCUUUCAGAGGGGGACAACAGUUGGAAACGACUGCUAAUACCGCGUAACGUAUCGUGAGGGCAUCCUCGUGAUACCAAAGGAGCAAUCCGCUGAAAGAUGGGCUCAUAUCUGAUUAGCUUGUUGGCGGGGUAACGGCCCACCAAGGCGACGAUCAGUAGCCGGACUGAGAGGUUGAACGGCCACAUUGGGACUGAGAUACGGCCCAGACUCCUACGGGAGGCAGCAGUGGGGAAUAUUGGGCAAUGGGCGAAAGCCUGACCCAGCAACGCCGCGUGAAGGAAGAAGGUCUUCGGAUUGUAAACUUCUUUUAUGAGGGACGAAGGACGUGACGGUACCUCAUGAAUAAGCCACGGCUAACUACGUGCCAGCCGCCGC